rnacentral:rRNA from 1 species
UACGUAGGGUGCAAGCGUUGUUCGGAAUCACUGGGCGUAAAGGGCGUGUAGGCGGUCAAGUAAGUGGAAUGUGAAAGCCCCCGGCUUACCCGGGGAUCUGCAUCCCAAACUGCUUGGCUUGAGUACGGGAGAGGAUGGAGGAAUUCCUGGUGUAGCGGUGAAAUGCGUAGAUAUCAGGAGGAACACCGGUGGCGAAGGCGUCCAUCUGGCCCGAUACUGACGCUGAGGCGCGAAGGCCAGGGGAGCAAACGGG